rnacentral:tRNA from 1 species
GCGGGAGUCGCAUAGUAUGGCCAAUUGCGCUAGCUUGAGGGGCUAGUCCUUAGUGGUUCGGCGGUUCAAAUCCGCCCUCCCGCA